GAGGAGCUCAAAAGAAGCUCGAGCUUCGUCGACGACGCGCCGCGGAGCGGAUCGAGCGAGUUUUCGACGAGGUGCUGCUCGCAGGGAGGGUUUGUCGAGGAGCAUCGGAACGUGACGUGACUUGAUUCGUUGGAACCGAGACUUCAAGACGAAUCCAUAGGAUCCUUACUCGCCCGAUUUGGAGAAGGUUUGCUCUGUCGAAAUCCCUUUUUACUGAGUUGCUGUUUGCCGAGCAGACUCUGAAGUGCUGAUUGCUGAUUCCAGCAUCGACCCGCCGUGUUUUACCUAGUUCUCUGUGUAGGAGUGUCGAAACGCGACGAAAUUUGGCGUGCUAGAUUCGCAACUUCGAGACGAAGAUUCUGAGCCCAAGAUCGCAAUUUUUGGAGCAGGUUCCAGCGUCGACGUUUCGUAUUCUGGCCCGUUCUCUGCGUAGGAGCGUCGGAAUUCAGCGAAACCUGGGCCAUUGGAUUCGUGACUUCGAGACGAAGCUUCAGAACCCUUGUUUGCUGAAUUUGGAUAAGCAGGAGAACCGGGGACUUCGACGGACCAGCGAGGGAUCAAUUUGGAUCCGGGCCACUUUCUUCGCUGCCAGGAGUUGCUUGAGAGGGCCUUCUGUUUCGGCGGCUGCUCCUUCUGAGGCGGACCGCGGGAAAGGCGUGGCGAGUUAGAGCCUACCCUUCGAGUACAGUGCUAGAGGACUCCCGCUGCAGGUAGUGACAGUUUUUGUUCGGGCGCUUUUGUACAUACAGUUGAACUCGCUGGAGCGAGUAGUGUUCUUUUG